CACGUCACUUUUCUGGCCUGGCUGGUUUCAACCGAGGGACCCGCUGCUUCACUGAUGAGUCCAACUUUCUGGAGCAUUUUGCAGACGCAGCGUGAAAGGAAGUUGUGUGCUCGGCUCUCCGUGGGCUGCGGAUCACUAAUAAACACGGUAUUAAAGGAGCAGUGAAUCCAUGCCGCCGGUGGGCCUAGAACAGCCAGCCGUGUCCCUGGCAUGGCUCUGGCUUCCUUUAAGACAGAUCUGGCUUGAGCACCUUUGCAGACAGACGGCCUCAGCAGAGAGGGCUUUCCUGGACAGUAUUGGACUGUGUAGUUAGGUUUUCUGGGUGGAAUUCGGCAUGACAUCCGACUCAAAACAAUCCCCCCCAUACUUUGAACCCAUUAUUAAAAACAAACAAACAAGGAAAUUGCCACCAAUAAAAAGCAGCAGCAAAAUGCUGUCACUCCCCAAAACAACAUGGUACAUUUUCCCAUCUGGUUGAAAAGCAUCUUCAUUCCAUGUCCCUUAGUAAAUAUUUGGUGUGGCUCAAAUCAUCCUCUCUGGCCUUGUGCGUGGCUCCCGGGCACUUCAGAUGUAACCCUCCUGCUACUGUCUUUGACCUUCCCCAUUCUUUUGUAUGUAAGCACCCAGGACAUACAGAAAUAAGAACAUUUUGCAGAAAGUUAGCAGGGAGGCAUAGGCAUAUUUCUGAAAAAUAAAAUUAAAUAGACACAAAGGGUCCUGCUUUCUCAGUGCGUGGUAUUGAGCAAGGAGGCCUGGCUUCUAUCCAGAUGUUCAAGCCUUUUGUACCUCUGGGGAGCGUGGCCUGGCUUCCAUCAGUCAUGUGACUUGGGCCUGUUUCCCUCAUCCCCUGUCCAUCAGGUGGCAUUGAAGAGAGGAGGUGGGCUUGGGGGAAGGGGAGGGGAUAAGGAGAGGUAGGGUGGCUGGGGGUAGAAGCCAGGAAGGUGACACUUGAGAAGCAGUCUGUACCAAGAGGUUAAAAAAAAAAAUUAAAGAUUUCCAUCUAGCCAUUACUGGCUGGCGUUCACGGCCUCUGAGCCUCUGAGCUAAAAAGUCUGCAGAGAGGCUCCUGGCGCUGCAGAGUUUGUCUUGUAAAAGUGCAGCUGUCCAAAACAUGACAGCUACAGCAUUAGCAGGGCCAUUAAGAGGUGUAGAACAUUUCCAGGGAAAUGAUUUGAAAAAUGACAAUGCUGGCUCCUGUGUGAUAUUAAUUAUACCCUGUACUCGUGGCAAAUAAGCUAAAAUAGUUGGCAAGAAAGACAAAGUGAGGUGUCCUGUUUCUGACCGUCAUUCCGAUCAAACAGUCGCCAAACGGGUGGGGCUUUAUGGUCUGCAGGUAAUUGUGAAGGUGAGAGGUCCGUGCUUGAACCAUCCUUCAGGGCUGUUCUGGAGAAUGGUCUGGCAGUGAAAAUGAAAUGCAGGAGCCUACGGUAAAGGGGAAUGUUCGUGGCUGGUGGCAGGGGCGAGGGUGGCAGGUCUGUCCUCCACUGAAAACAGGUCGAUCUAUACUGUGGAGCCCAGUGGAAUUUUUAUGGUGAUAGACAUGUUCCCUGUCUGUACCGUCCGAUAUGGUAGCCACUACCCACAUGGAAUACCGAGCACUCGAAAGGGCUACUGGAUCGAACCCGCAACCUCAUGGUUCCUAGUUGGAUUCAUUUCUGCUGCACCACUACGGGAACUCCAGCCUUGGUUUCUUAAUAUGUAAAAUGGGUGACUGCUAGGAUUAAAUGAGGUUUCAUAGAUAUACUCAUGUAUAUCUAUCUGUGUGUGUGUGUCUGUCCUGUCUAUAUUUCCUAGUGCUUGGCAUCUGGAAAAUGCUUGAUGAUUUGCAUUCCUUCUCUUUAUUUUCCUUUUAAGCUAGGAGCCCACACUUACCACUCCUUGUCCAUCUGCAGGCUGAACAAAGACCUGAGCAGCCUCCAUCCUCAGAAUCAGCAGUUUUAGUAACUACUGGGUCUACAUCAAGGAGCCUGGGGAACUUGCUUUUUCCCCAUUAGAAAUUUGCCCCUAGGCCAAUGGUCUGUUGCCUUGCAUGUCUCCCAGACAUGCAUGUUUGGUUGGUAUCUGUGGAUGUAAGUGAUGGUUGCUUUGAAAUGGGCAUAAGAUGUCCUUUCUUCUUUCUUGAACUUGAUUUUGCCUUUUGCUCUUCCAUCUGACUUUUUCAUAGGGAACACAUUUCUAGCCACGAGACCAUCUUUCUGCAGAAUCUUCUCACAGGUUGUAACUGAACUGUUGUCCAGAGAGAUUGCAACUUGCCCAAGACCUCAGAGCCUCUCGCUCUAAGUCACGUGUUCCUUCUACACCACCUACCAGUGCUUUCCGGUAGCUCCUGGAAACUCGUGCCGCCUGGAAAAAGAACCCCAGUUCUAUCUAUUGGGCGCCCAUCUGUUUCAGUUGCUGCUCAUUACUCCCUUUCCAGGUUCCACCAGGCAGUGAGCCUGGCAACAACCCCUCCCUCCCACUCGCACAUAUGCCAGUGGGUCUUGGCCUUCAGAAUGGCUUCCUAAGUCUCCUUUGGGACUCUCCUGUCACCAGACUUUCCCACUCACGAUGAGGGGCGGGGGGUGGUGGUGGUGGAACAAGCCCUUUGUUUGAGCCUGCCAUAGAUUAGUCCGGCUUGGAAGGAGCGCUGGCUUUCCCAACUCCUGUGGGUGUGUCUCCAGCUGAAUGUUCCUCUCCUGACUUUGAUUUCUCUCUCAGCGAGUGGGGGUGUAAUUCGCCUUGACAUCGCUGGCCAUCAGCGCCACACUGAAGUGGGCCUUCUUUGACUCGAAGUGACAGCCCUUGGCCCCUGUGACAUUGUUUCCAUAGAUUUGCAGUGAAACAGUUUUAUAUUUUGCAAAAUAGAGUGCUCUCCUAUGACUGGCAUUGAUGGGGUUUUUGCCAUGGUUUUCUGGGGGGGCGAUAACCGUGUCCACUGACCCACCCUCAACUGAUUCCCCUUAUUCUGGCAUCUGGACACAUUGCUCUUACUUAGGUUGCCUGGAUGAUGACUUUGUUUGGUUUUUUUAAAACCAUCACGUGCUCUGACCAUUUAUAGACCCUUUCCUGUUAUUCUAUUGGCCCCCAGUGUUCUAAGACCUUGGCUGCCCAUUAGGAACCUUUCCAUUUUGGCUGUUCGACAAUCACAGAAGUCAUCAGUCACCUGGGAGAAGAGGAAGCUUGAAUACUCUCUCCUGAAAGUUUUUACUCUGGUGUAUUUUACCCUCAGUGACAGCUUGAGAUAUAGUCAGAGGGGCUAUCAAUGUCAGACCUUUGUUUGAGAUGUGGAAAUACUUGCUGAAGUUUACUAGGGGAAGGGGCUGGGCUGUCCAUUGGUGGUCCUUACUUUCCAGAGAAGCUUAAGUCACUAUCUUGUUCUCAGAAUUUUCUAAAAAUACCUGGAGGCAGAAAAAUAAGUAAGUUUCCUAAUCCCACCUAAAAAGAAGUGACAGUUGUGGUACUUUUUCAAAAUUUUUUUUUUUUUUUUUAGGGCUGCACCUGUGGCAUGUGGAAGUUCCCAGGCUGAGGGCUGAAUUGGACCUGUACCUGCCGGCCUACAUCACUGUCAGGGCCAAUGCCAGAUCUGAGCUGCAUCAGUGACCUACACUGUAGCUUGCAGCAAAGCUGGAUCCUUAAACCACUUAGUAAGGCUUGGGACUGAACCUGUGUCCUCAUGGAUAAUAUAUUCUUAACCCACUGAGCCACAAUGGGAACUCCUUUGCUACCUUUUUUUACCCUUCUUGAAGACUAACCUUUAGACUUUGAAAUUUAUGAUCUUAGACUUGCCAAGAUUGAGUUAUCAGGGUUGGCUUUACUAAUAAACUCUUAGGCUUCUGAGAAAGUAUAACACUUAGGGAAAUAGUUUAAUAUUUUACCUAAGCUUGCACCCUUUGUAUUGUCAGGCAAAUGUUAAAAUGUGCUAGGAAAGUAUUUUUUUUUUUUUUUUCUUGGCUACCAGUUUUGUCUUGUGGGGUGGGGGGGACUAGUUUGCCUUUAGAAAAGGUGGAGGGAGAGUCUGUGUCUUUUGCAGCACAGGCUGCUGAAGGGGUCCCAAGACCGAGACUCUUAUUCCAUCCUUAUGUUGUCACAGGAUCAUUCCUCCCUCCACCUCACCCCCCAUCCCAAGAUGUCUGGUUUGGGCUUGACUCUGCUGGUGAGAAUUUUCUGAACAACUCCAUGAAUGUCUCUGACCCUGGCUCCUCCCUGUGGGUUGGGGGAGGGGCCCCAGGAGAGCGGAUUCCUGGCAGAUGUGGUGCAUGAACGCUUGAGCCUGUGUUGGAGAUGAAAUGGGAUGUCAGGCUCUGGGAGGUUCUCUGGAGGCAUCUCCUAAGGCAUGAAGAUUAUUUACAUAUUAAAAAAAAAAUUAAGACCAAACUUCUCUAAGUGCUGGCUUUUCUUCUUAACAGCCUUCGUAUGCACAUUCUUUUAGAUUCUGGUCUGGCUCUUUUUCUCUGGUGGCCACAAACUUUCUGGCCUAACUUCCUAAAUGGGGGAAGAAGGAUUUCCAGGGUAGAGCUUGCACUUAGAAGCCUGGGACUAGGAGGUGGGAAGGCUGGCUUGUGAACUCUGGCUGAGGUGGGCAACGUACUCCGUGAGGUGUAAAAGUUGUUCCAGCAAGAGGAGGUGGCGUUGAAACAUCCUUUUGGAUGGCGUUUGAAUAUUUUUUUCGUUGCUCCUACCCACUCCCUGUGUGGGUUUGUAUUCUUUAGCCCCAGCUGUUUGUGAUAUUUCACUGUCAAAUACAUAAUUAACAAUUUUGUAAGCCAAGUUUAGUGAUUUUUUUUUUUUUUUACAUUCAUGCACUGAACGUCUUUUCUGUCUUAAGCCAGUUACAUCUUUUUUAUUGAAUACUGUUCUCCCCCCGCCCCAUAACCUGUUUCCAGAAAAUUUGUCAUUCUAACAUCUUUCCAAAGAGUGAACUGUAUCAAAGGGGGCUUGAGAAACUGUAUCAAAGUGGAUUCAGGAAUACAGAUGUGGGUUGUGGUGUGGAAUUGCUUUGGAAUUUGAAACUGGUUCUGUAGACUGAGUUGAUGAUGGAUCCAGUCGUGAAUAAUUUUUUGAAACCGAUGAUGUCACUGGCAGUUUUAUGACUAGGAUUUUGGUAGACGAGCGUAAGUUGCUGGAAUAGGGUGAGAAAGCAAGUCACAGCUAAGGGCUGAGCCAGUAAAAUAAAACCAAGGAGUUAAAAAAAUAGGUUUGUUUACAUUUUUUAAAGAGUGGUAAUGGAUUCUCCCACAGUAUGAUAGUUUAUUCUGGUUUGUUCUUUUCUAGUUUUAGAAAAUUUAUGACUAGAAAUCAUCACAUAGGGUCAACAGAGAAUCAUAUCAUCUGAAUAGAAUUCAAAGUUCAUUUUGGAUAAGAUAGUCCCAAUAAACCAGCAUUAUACAGAGACUUAACGUGAUAGAGAUUCUUUACCUCAAGUCAAAAGUGUGCAGUCUUUUUCGUGGCCCAACAUUAGAGAAAGUCAGGGUUUGAGAUAAAAGUGUCAACUUCCAUUAUGAUUUAAAUUCAACGCUUAAAUUUGGGAAGAUCUCAUUUAGAGAUGGUCGGUCACCCUUGGGCCAAAUCUGGCCGUCAGGCAUUCUCUCUUGGCCUGCUGUAUGU
rnacentral:lncRNA from 1 species